rnacentral:rRNA from 1 species
GUGCCAGCAGCCGCGGUAAUACGGAGGGUGCAAGCGUUAUCCGGAUUCACUGGGUUUAAAGGGUGCGUAGGCGGGCAGGUAAGUCAGUGGUGAAAUCUCCGGGCUUAACCCGGAAACUGCCGUUGAUACUAUCUGUCUUGAAUAUCGUGGAGAUGAGCGGAAUAUGUCAUGUAGCGGUGAAAUGCUUAGAUAUGACAUAGAACACCGAUUGCGAAGGCAGCUCGUUACACGGUUAUUGACGCUGAGGCACGAAAGCGUGGGGAUCAAACAGGAUUAGAAACCCCCGUAGUCC